UACGUAGGGGGCAAGCGUUGUCCGGAAUCAUUGGGCGUAAAGAGCGUGUAGGCGGCCUGGUAAGUCCGCUGUGAAAGUCCAGGGCUCAACCCUGGAAUGCCGGUGGAAACUGUCAGGCUCGAGUCCGGAAGAGGCGAGUGGAAUUCCUGGUGUAGCGGUGAAAUGCGCAGAUAUCAGGAGGAACACCCGUGGCGAAGGCGGCUCUCUGGGACGGUACUGACGCUGAGACGCGAAAGCGUGGGGAGCGAACAGG
rnacentral:rRNA from 1 species